UCGGGAAUUUUGGGCAAUGGGCGAAAGCCUGACCCAGCAACGCCGCGUGAGGGAUGAAGUAUUUCGGUAUGUAAACCUCGAAAGAAUGGGAAGAAUAAAUGACGGUACCAUUUAUAAGCUCCGGCUAACUACGUGCCAGCAGCCGCGGUAAUACGUAGGGAGCAAGCGUUGUUCGGAUUUACUGGGCGUAAAGGGCGCGUAGGCGGCGCGGUAAGUCACUUGUGAAAUCUCUGAGCUUAACUCAGAACGGCCAAGUGAUACUGCUGUGCUAGAGUGCGGAAGAGGCAACCGGAAUUCUUGGUGUAGCGGUGAAAUGCGUAGAUAUCAAGAGGAACACCUGAGGCGAAGGCGGGUUGCUGGGCCGACACUGACGCUGAUGCGCGAAAGCCAGGGGAGC
rnacentral:rRNA from 1 species